UCAUCUUUGAAUUUUUAUUCCAUCUCUCUACCUUCUCAUCUGUCUAUAGUUAUGCUUAAUAUUUGAUGUCUGAUUAAUUACUAAUGAAAUAGAGGUUGCUAACUAGUAGCUAUCUUGAUAUAUCAUGCUUAUCUACUAGAUAUUCAAUCAAUUGCUAUGAGAAUAAAGGGUGCUGUAAUGGGGAGCACUGGCGCAGCACUAACUACCCACAAAAAGAUUAUAAGACAACUAACUGGCUUCGCCUAUCAAUCAAGAGGCGCGUUUGCCCACGCCUUGAAAAAGGGUGCUAAGGGCAGCCUGCUCUUAGUACUCUUCUUUACUUUAAA
rnacentral:sRNA from 1 species